UUUCUGCCUGAUUGGACCUUGUUUUCACACAAAUGAACCCAGAAUGAUGUGAAAUUGUGCUUCGUGCAACAUAAUUCUGGGUGCCAUUUACAAACCAUAACUGCUAAUGACUCCAUUCCUUUUUGUGGUUGUAGAGUCUGUUGAUUGGAGUACACUAAAACAUACCUGAUCUCUCUAGGACAUUCAGAAGCCAAGUUAUAAGCCCACAAAUGUGGAACUGGACUACUUCUUUAAAGUGCAUGUCAAGUGUGCCUCAGAGUCUUACCCCACCCACGUAUCAAUUUUGAAAACUGCAACAUUAGUAGGCGUUGCCUGGAGGACCGAGAGGGCGGAGCCGCGGCAGUGACGAAGAGACGGCUAACUAGACGAAGCUAGCUCCCUUCACUCUGAGCAGUCAUUAGAAGUGGAGGACGUUUCUCCCCCUCCUUACCCAGACACUCGAGAAGAAAGGGACCAAGUCUAUUUGGAGGAGACAAGCGGACAUGAGCCUUAUUGUUUUGAGCUUGUGAGUUGCCUGAAAUUACUGGAACCGACCCAACAGACCCAUCUCUGAACGUGAUCCUCUGGUGUCUGCAGCUGGUCUCCUGCUGAUGUCGUCGGGAUCAGGAACUUCCAGAAGAAUGUGCCUUUCAAUGACUCUUUCCCCCUUAUUUGUUAUAUUAAUUAAAUAAAUCUCAAUUUA